GGUCUGGAGGUUUGGACUGCACAAAGACUGGCCAGGUCUGGAGGUUUGGACUGCACAAAGACUGGUCAGGUCUGGAGGUUUGGACUGCACAAAGACUGGCCAGGUCUGGAGGUUUGGACUGCACAAAGACUGGUCAGGUCUGGAGGUUUGGACUGCACAAAGACUGGACAGGUCUGGAGGUUUGGACUGCACAAAGACUGGUCAGGUCUGGAGGUUUGGACUGCACAAAGACUGGACAGGUCUGGAGGUUUGGACUGCACAAAGACUGGACAGGUCUGGAGGUUUGGACUGCACAAAGACUGGACAGGUCUGGAUGUUUGGACUGCACAAAGACUGGACAAGUGGGUCUUGGCUUGGACAAAAAACUGGUAGAGAAUUAUAGCUGUGCAAUAUGGUAAAAAAUAUAUAGCUACAACUAUUUUAAGGGCAAUAUAGUCCACUGCAAAUUUCAGUGUUAAAUUUCAGUGUUGUCACAAUGUGCUGGGCAAAGAAAUAAGUAUUAAAUAUCAGUAUUUUUCACUUUUAAACAUCUUUUGGAAAUGUGAAGGUCCAACUUUACUCUGUUUCUAACACUUUAUAGUGAUGGAGGGUAUUGAAGAAAUAAUAAUAAUUGAAUAAUCAACUAAAAAAGUGCUCAAAAUCAUAUUAGUUGACUACCAAAACAAGCAUUAGAUGCAACCUUGGUAAAAACAAUAUCUUGGUAAAAACAAUAUAUCAUAUUUAUGAUAUGACCUUGGGUUAAACAAACGAAAAUGUAUGAAAAUCAUCAUACCAAUAUCUUAUCCAUCUUCAUCGUUAU